rnacentral:rRNA from 1 species
CAGCCGUAAACUAUGCGCGUUAGGUGUAUCGGUGACCACGAGUCACCGAGGUGCCGAAGGGAAACCGUGAAACGUGCCGCCUGGGAAGUACGGUCGCAAGGCUGAAACUUAAAGGAAUUGGCGGGGAGCACCACAACAGGUGGAGCCUGCGGUUUAAUUUGGACUCAACGCCGGGAAGCUCACCGGAUAGGACAGCAGAAUGAUUGCCGGGCUGAAGACCCUGCAUGACUAGCUGAGAGGAGGUGCAUGGCGUCAGUGACU